GGUGUGGUGGCCAAGUGGUAAGGCGUCAGUCUUGUAAACUGAAGAUCAUGGGUUUAACACCCAUCCAUACCU